rnacentral:rRNA from 1 species
UACGUAGGGUGCAAGCGUUGUCCGGAAUUAUUGGGCGUAAAGAGCUCGUAGGCGGCUUGUCGCGUCUGUUGUGAAAGCCCGGGGCUUAACCCCGGGUCUGCAGUGGAUACGGGCAGGCUAGAGGCAGGUAGGGGAGAACGGAAUUCCCGGUGUAGCGGUGAAAUGACGCAGAUAUCGGGAGGAACACCGGUGGCGAAGGCGGUUCUCUGGGCCUGUACUGACGCUGAGGAGCGAAAAGCGUGGGGAGCGAACAGG